rnacentral:rRNA from 1 species
CGGUUGAUCCCGGCAGAGGUUACUGCUAUCGAGGUUCGACUAAGCCAUGCGAGUCGAAUGUAGCAAUACAUGGCGAACUGCUCAGUAACACGUGGACAACCUGCCCUUAGGUUGGGUAUAAACCCGGGAAACUGGGUAUAAUACCCGAUAGGUCUCGAUUGCUGGAAUGCAUCGAGAUUUAAAGCUCCGGCGCCUAAGGAUGGGUCUGCGGCCUAUCAGGUAGUAGUGGGUGUAGCGUACCUACUAGCCUACGACGGGUACGGGUUGUGAGAGCAAGAGCCCGGAGAUGGAUUCUGAGACACGAAUCCAGGCCCUACGGGGUGCAGCAGGCGCGAAAACUUUACAAUGCUGGCAACAGCGAUAAGGGAACCUCGAGUGCCAGGUUACAAAUCUGGCUGUCGAGAUGCCUAAAAAGCAUUUCAUAGCAAGGGCCGGGCAAGACCGGUGCCAGCCGCCGCGGUAACACCGGCGGCUCGAGUGGUAACCGUUAUUAUUGGGUC